rnacentral:rRNA from 1 species
ACGUAGGGACCAAGCGUUGUUCGGAUUUACUGGGCGUAAAGGGCGCGUAGGCGGCGUGACAAGUCACUUGUGAAAUCUCUGAGCUUAACUCAGAACGGCCAAGUGAAUCUGUUGUGCUAGAGUGCAGAAGGGGCAAUCGGAAUUCUUGGUGUAGCGGGGAAAUGCGUAGAUAUCAAGAGGAAAACCUGAGGUGAAGACGGGUUGCUGGGCGGAAACUGACGCU